UGCAUUUCUUGCACUACUUUUUAUCUGACUGAACUUUCAUCACUGCCUUAUUUGAUUCAUCAUUUCUUUGCCAUAGGGCGAGUCUCGUGCCUGUAGAUGGUACGGAGAUACGACUGCGCGAGAUUGGUACGACGAGCUCCCUGUAGGAGUUUGUGAUAUUGUGGACGAGACUGGCUUCGGCCUUUUCUGCUCUAGCUUGACGCGGGUCAUUGCUAGCCGUCCUCUUUUGGGAGCACUAGUCGAGAGGUGGUGGGACACCACCAACUUCUUCCACUUCUCCACUACCGGGGAUAUGACGAUGACUUAUUACGACUUCGCUAUGACCACUGGCUUAGGAGUAGGGGGUGAUUUGAUCCCUUUCAACAGACAUGGGGAAGUGGAAGGCCGCCUGGAUCGAGUUGCUAGGAGCACGCCCAUCUUUGUACCGGACAUAUAUGGUCAAAUAUAGCUGGUUCGCUGAGUAGUUCAGAGGGAGCGAGCCAGUGACAUUAGAAGAGAUGGAGUAGUACGCCAGAGGCUUUCGGAUGUUCAUCCUCGGUACUACCUUGUUCUUGAACAGGUGGAAUACCGUGGGCUUGUAUCUGCUGAGUGCCCUGGUGACCCUUCCUCGGGUAUGUUUCUAUGAUUGGGGCAGAGCUGACCUCGCCACCCUGUACGGCUAUAUGAGCUCUACCUCCCGCUUGAGGGGAGAGCUAAUCGGAGGCUACGUACGAGCUUGGGAGCUGUGGGUGUAUUCUUAUUUCCCUACUCUUGCCCUAGAGCCCAUGAAGGAGCUCCUACUGGUAGUCCCUUACUCGAGGCGGUAUGAUGGUAGGUGUCAGCGUAGGACUCGCGAGACCUUCGUAUUCUUCCGGCACUAUUUCGACGCAGUGGCUGCCCACGAGAUCAUGUGGCAGCCCUGGGCCAUGAUGCUGGCUGGGAUAAGGGACCAGUACACCGGGGCUUGGGCCACUUCUCGUUUCCACAUUCUACUUGAGGGCCCAGUCUGCCGGGCCUGGUUCCUGAGUGAGCGGUUCGUUCGUCAGACCGUGGGCUUGUCAGACCCGAUCACUCCGAUGCCACCACCAGAGUCCAUGAGAUCAGGAAAACAGCCUAUCUGUUGAUGCAGUCACUCAGUUUAUAGUGGGCUUGGAUGCUGAUUAUUUCAGGUAGAGGGCGACUAUGCGACCUUUAUUCAGACGCACCUCAUGCCACUUCUAACAGGUGCUCGUGGAGGCGAGGGGGCAAGGGCUCUUGUAGCGAGAGAGGCGCGUAGGGCGACUAGGGCUCGUGCUAGAAGGGUUCCUCGUGAGGGGCAGAUGACCCGUUGGCUAGAGCUUCCUACCACGCUUACAUGUUGAUGGCAUACCGGGGCUGCUUACUAGAUUCCAAUCGAGUCUGUAGCAGCUGAUCAUGAGCUUGUCGGGGUUUGAGGCUCGACUAAGGCAUCCAUAGAAGACACAAGGGGCACUCUCGAGUUGAUAGCUUCUCUGAUGGGCAUGGUACAGAGGAGAGAGACGCUGCUUGGCCUCUACGAUAUCCUGAUCCCAGCUAUACUGGGUGCACUGGCGGCGGCAGCAACACCAGUACCAACAGUAUCCCCUCCAGCAGCAGGGGGAAGAGGCAGAGAUAGGGGUACCCGGGGCUAGAGCAGUCCUCCAGAGCCCAUCUUAAGCAAUGACGAUGCUGAGACUAGUGACUCUGGGGAGGCAGUGAGUUGGCAUUCCGAGUCAUCCGAGAGUGGAGACGAUGCCGCAUUGGUUCCGAGAGCGGAGGUGAUGAUGCCGAGACGGGUUAAGGGGUAGAGAGCAGAGAUGAUGCCAGCUCUGGUUCUGGUUUAGAGGCAGAUUCAAAGUGCGAUGUUGAUAGAGAUAGUGCCCCAGAGUCCUCUCCUCCGAGGAAGAGGACGAAGAGGGCCUCUCAGGCUUGAGGCGACCGGUGCUGAUUUUUUGUACUUUUGCUUAAUUUCUUUUUGUUUGGUAGCAUUAGCACAUGUAUAGCUUCAAAUAGGUUUAUUUUUCUUUGAAAACUUAUACUAAUCUUUUGUAAAAAAACCAUGAUUGGA